AAUCUUGUUCUUAUUGGCUGUGUAGACAUCUCAAGAUACCACAGUAACUGAAAGAGAGAAAAGGAGACAACUUGGUAACAGAAGUGACUGUCCAGACUAGACAUCAUAAGGCUUCAACUGAUCCUCCUGGGGAAGGAAAAAUGAAGAGAUUGAUUCGUGAUUUAUUCCUGCUCCUGUGGCUGUGGCUGCACUUGCUGAGCAGAGGAGAGAAGGUGGAGCAGAGUCCUUCUGUCCUGAGUGUGCAGGAGGGAGACAGCUGUGUCAUCAACUGUACUUACUCAAACAGUGCCUUAGACUACUUCAUUUGGUACAAGCAAGAACCAGGACAAGGUCCCCAGCGCAUUCUAGACAUUCGUUCAAAUAGGGACAGAAAUGAAAAUGGAAAACUCCUUGUCCUAUUGCAGAAGAAUGACAAACACCUCUCCCUGCACAUCAAAGACACACGGCCUGGGGACUCGGCUGUCUACCUCUGUGCAGCAAGUGCACAUUGCUCUCCAGGCACCUGCAGCCUGUCCUCAAACCUGCCACCCCUUUCUCUGCCAUGUAUCUUCCAGCACAGUAUUUGCCUGUUGUCUGUUUUAAAGUAGCAGCAAACAC